rnacentral:rRNA from 1 species
UACGAAGGGGGCUAGCGUUGUUCGGAAUCACUGGGCGUAAAGGGCGCGUAGGUGGCCUUCUAAGUUGAACGUGAAAUCCCUGGGCUCAACCCAGGAACUGCGUCCAAGACUGGGAGGCUUGAAUCCGGGAGAGGGAUGCGGAAUUCCAGGUGUAGCGGUGAAAUGCGUAGAUAUCUGGAGGAACACCGGUGGCGAAGGCGGCAUCCUGGACCGGUAUUGACACUGAGGCGCGAAAGCCAGGGGAGCAAACGGG